UACGUAGGUGGCAAGCGUUGUCCGGAUUUAUUGGGCGUAAAGGGAGCGCAGGCGGUGACUUAAGUCUGAUGUGAAAGCCCACGGCUCAACCGUGGAAGGUCAUUGGAAACUGGGUCACUUGAAUAUAGAAGAGGAAAGUGGAAUUCCAUGUGUAGCGGUGAAAUGCGUAGAUAUAUGGAGGAACACCAGUGGCGAAGGCGACUUUCUGGCCAGUUACUGACGCUCAUGCGCGAAAGCUGGAGUAGCGAACCGGAUUAGAUA
rnacentral:rRNA from 1 species